rnacentral:rRNA from 1 species
UACGAAGGGGCUAGCGUUGCUCGGUAUGACUGGGCGUAAAGGGCGCGUAGGCGGAUGGCUUUGUCGGGCGUGAAAUUCCAGGGCUUAACCUUGGGGCUGCGUUCGAGACGGGUUGUCUUGAGUGGGGAAGAGGGUCGUGGAAUUCCCAGUGUAGAGGUGAAAUUCGUAGAUAUUGGGAAGAACACCGGUGGCGAAGGCGGCGACCUGGGCCUUACCUGACACUGAGGAGCGAAAGCGUGGGGAGCGAACAGG